rnacentral:rRNA from 1 species
AUUGAACGCUGGCGGCAGGCCUAACACAUGCAAGUCGAGCGGAGCGGCGGACGGGUGAGUAAUGCCUAGGAAUCUGCCUGGUAGUGGGGGAUAACGUCCGGAAACGGGCGCUAAUACCGCAUACUAUCAGAUGAGCCUAGGUCGGAUUAGCUUGUUGGUGGGGUAAAGGCAUACCAAGGCGACGAUCCGUAACGGGUAUGAGAGGAGGAUCAGUCAAACUGGAACGUAGACACGGUCCAUACUCCUACGGGAGGCAGCAGUGGUGAAUAUUGGACAAUGGGCGAAAGCCUGAUCCAGCCAUGCCGCGUGUGUGAAGAAGGUCUUCGGAUUGUAAAGCACUUUAAGUUGGGAGGCGUUACCAACAGAAUAAGCACCGGCUAACUUCGUGCCAGCGGCCGCGGUAAUUC